rnacentral:rRNA from 1 species
AUUGAACGCUGGCGGCAGGCCUAACACAUGCAAGUCGAGCGGAUGAAGGGAGCUUGCUCCUGGAUUCAGCGGCGGACGGGUGAGUAAUGCCUAGGAAUCUGCCUGGUAGUGGGGGAUAACGUCCGGAAACGGGCGCUAAUACCGCAUACGUCCUGAGGGAGAAAGUGGGGGAUCUUCGGACCUCACGCUAUCAGAUGAGCCUAGGUCGGAUUAGCUAGUUGGUGGGGUAAAGGCCUACCAAGGCGACGAUCCGUAACUGGUCUGAGAGGCUGAUCAGUCACACUGGAACUGAGACACGGUCCAGACUCCUACGGGAGGCAGCAGUGGGGAAUAUUGGACAAUGGGCGAAAGCCUGAUCCAGCCAUGCCGCGUGUGUGAAGAAGGUCUUCGGAUUGUAAAGCACUUUAAGUUGGGAGGAAGGGCAGUAAGUUAAUACCUUGCUGUUUUGACGGUACCAACAGAAUAAGCACCGGCUAACUUCGUG